AGGACGAACGUUGGCGGCGUGCCUAACACAUGCAAGUCGAACGUGGCUUAAGUUUACUUAAGUCUAGUGGCGGACGGCAGAGUAAUGCACAGGAACGUACCUCGAGGUGAGGGAUAGCCCUUCGAAAGAAGGGGUAAUACCACAUGUGCUCGCAAGAGCAAAGCCGCAAGGCGCCAUGAGAACGGCCUGUGUCCUAUCAGGUAGUUGGUGAGGUAAAGGCUCACCAAGCCUAUGACGGGUAGCUGGUCUGAGAGGAUGAUCAGCCUGAUCGGGACUGAGACACGGCCCGAACUCCUACGGGAGGCAGCAGUUGGGAAUUUUGCACAAUGGACGAAAGUCUGAUGCAGCGACGCCGCGUGGAGGAUGAAGGUCUUCGGAUCGUAAACUCCUUUACUUGGGAAUAAUUUAAUGAAGGUACCAAGUGAAUAAGCACGGCUAACUCCGUGCCAGCAGCCGC
rnacentral:rRNA from 1 species